GCCAAAUCAAUAUCAAAUUGGUUGGCGCCCUCUAAACCUCUAGCACCAUCGGACAGAAUUUUGGCAUCAACAAUAUUUAAAUUAAAAAUAUUUUUUAUUUUUUUUAAUGUUUGGUUGGAAAAUGUCAAAAUAUUUUCUAUCUUUUGGUUGCUUGGACUUAGUGAUUAACUGUGUAGAAAAAAUAUAUAACAAACUAUGAAAUUGAAGGGGAUG
rnacentral:lncRNA from 1 species